GUAGGUGGAACCUGCGGAGGGAUCAUUAAAGAGUUGCAAAACUCCCAAACCAUUGUGAACAUACCUUCAACGUUGCUUCGGCGGGUUGGCCCCGGUCUCCGGGGUCCCCGGCCCUACUCGGGCGCCCGCCGGAGGUAUCUAACUCUUGAACUUUUAUGGCCUCUCUGAGUCUUUGUACUUAAUAAGUCAAAACUUUCAACAACGGAUCUCUUGGUUCUGGCAUCGAUGAAGAACGCAGCGAAAUGCGAUAAGUAAUGUGAAUUGCAGAAUUCAGUGAAUCAUCGAAUCUUUGAACGCACAUUGCGCCCGCCAGUAUUCUGGCGGGCAUGCCUGUUCGAGCGUCAUUUCAACCAUCAAGCCCCCGGCUUGUGUUGGGGACCUGCGGCUGCCGCAGGCCCUGAAAACCAGUGGCGGGCUCGCUAGUCACUCCGAGCGUAGUAAUACAUCUCGCUCAGGGCGUGCUGCGGGUUCCGGCCGUUAAAAAGCCUUAUUUACCCAAGGUUGACCUCGGAUCAGGUAGGAAGACCCGCUGAACUUAAGCAUAUCAAUAAGCGGA
rnacentral:rRNA from 1 species